rnacentral:rRNA from 1 species
UACGUAGGAGGCUAGCGUUGUCCGGAAUCAUUGGGCGUAAAGCGCGUGUAGGCGGUCCGGUAAGUCCGCUGUGAAAGUCGGGGGCUCAACCCUCGAAAGCCGGUGGAUACUGUUGGGCUAGAGUACGGAAGAGGCGAGUGGAAUUCCUGGUGUAGCGGUGAAAUGCGCAGAUAUCAGGAGGAACACCAAUUGCGAAGGCAGCUCGCUGGGACGUUACUGACGCUGAGACGCGAAAGCGUGGGGAGCAAACAGG